rnacentral:rRNA from 1 species
CCUACGGGAGGCAGCAGUGAGGAAUAUUGGACAAUGGGCGCAAGCCUGAUCCAGCCAUGCCGCGUGCAGGAUGACGGUCCUAUGGAUUGUAAACUGCUUUUGCACAGGAAGAAACAACAUUACGUGUAAUGUCUUGACGGUACUGUGAGAAUAAGGAUCGGCUAACUCCGUGCCAGCAGCCGCGGUAAUACGGAGGAUCCAAGCGUUAUCCGGAAUCAUUGGGUUUAAAGGGUCCGUAGGCGGUUUAGUAAGUCAGUGGUGAAAGCCCAUCGCUCAACGGUGGAACGGCCAUUGAUACUGCUAGACUUGAAUUAUUAGGAAGUAACUAGAAUAUGUAGUGUAGCGGUGAAAUGCUUAGAGAUUACAUGGAAUACCAAUUGCGAAGGCAGGUUACUACUAAUGGAUUGACGCUGAUGGACGAAGCGUGGGUANCGAACAGGAUUAGAUACCCUGGUAGUCCACGCCGUAAAACGAUGGAUACUAGCUUGUUGGGAGAUAUUACUAGUGCGUAGAGAAGUAGAGUAAGUAUACCACCGUCGGGAGGUACGUUACGUCGAAGAAGUAGUAAACGUACGAAAGUAGUAAGUUAGUACGGCGUAGAGACGUUACGCCGACGGACGACGACGAGGGGAGGUAGG